GAUGAACGCUGGCGGCGUGCCUAAUACAUGCAAGUCGAGCGAAGCGGGGACGGGUGAGUACCACGUCGAUAACCUCCUAUAAGACUGGGAUAACUUCGGGAAAACGGAGCCAAACCCGAUACUUAUCGAUGGAUUCGCGGUGCAUUAGCUAGUAGGUAAGGUAACGGCUAACCAAGGCACCGAUUCAUAGCCGACCUGAGAGGGUGAACAGCCACACUGGAACUGAGACACGGUCCAGACUCCUACGGGAGGCAGCAGUAGGGAAUCUUCCGCAAUGGGCGAAAGCCUGACGGAGCAACGCCGCGUGAGUGAAGAAGGUCUUCGGGUCGUAAAACACUGUUAUUAGGGAGGCGGUAACAAAUCAGGAAGCCACGGCUAAAUACGUGCCAGCAGCCGCGGUAAUAC
rnacentral:rRNA from 1 species